rnacentral:lncRNA from 1 species
UAUCUUUGUUACUAAGUAUUUUCCUUCUUUGACUUUCAUUUGUAUUUUUUGCUCCCCUUAAUUGAUUAUAUGCAGUAAUACUUGUUGCUCCUAGUUACUAACUUAGAAACAUUGAAUACCGACUAACAGGCGAAUUUAUAACUAGUUAGUUACUAACUUUCAUCAUGCAACCAGUAGACACAGUUUUCAGAGGAAGAGUUCAG